rnacentral:rRNA from 1 species
CCCUACGGGAGGCAGCAGUGAGGAAUAUUGGUCAAUGGACGAGAGUCUGAACCAGCCAAGUAGCGUGAAGGAUGAAGGUCUUACGGAUUGUAAACUUCUUUUAUAAGGGAAUAAACCCUCCCACGUGUGGGAGCUUGUAUGUACCUUAUGAAUAAGCAUCGGCUAACUCCGUGCCAGCAGCCGCGGUAAUACGGAGGAUGCGAGCGUUAUCCGGAUUUAUUGGGUUUAAAGGGAGCGCAGACGGGUCGCUAAGUCAGCUGUGAAAGUUUGGGGCUCAACCUUAAAAUUGCAGUUGAUACUGGCGUCCUUGAGUGCGGUUGAGGUGUGCGGAAUUCGUGGUGUAGCGGUGAAAUGCUUAGAUAUCACGAAGAACUCCGAUUGCGAAGGCAGCACACUAAUCCGUAACUGACGUUCAUGCUCGAAAGUGUGGGUAUCAAACAGGAUUAGAUACCCUGGUAGUCCACACGGUAAACGAUGGAUACUCGCUGUUGGCGAUAUACUGUCAGCGGCUUAGCGAAAGCGUU